rnacentral:rRNA from 1 species
UACGGAGGGGGCUAGCGUUGUUCGGAAUUACUGGGCGUAAAGCGCGCGUAGGCGGAUCUGCAAGUCGGGGGUGAAAUCCCGGAGGCUCAACCUCGGAACUGCCUUCGAUACUGCGGGUCUCGAGUCCGGGAGAGGUGAGUGGAAUUCCUAGUGUAGUAGGUGAAAUUCGUAGAUAUUAAGGAAGAACACCAGUGGCGGAAGGCGGACUCACGUGGCCCG